rnacentral:rRNA from 1 species
GGGUCCGGACACACUGAGGAUUGACAGGCAAUAUUAAUACGUUUUGCUUCGGUAAACGCGUAUUAUGUUAAAUAUGCUAGUCCUUUCAUGAUUAUGUGAUAGGUGGUGCAUGGCCGUUCUUAGUUCGUGGAGUGAUCUGUCUGCUUAAUUGCGUUUCACUAAGGGCCUAUAAAUUUACGUGUGUUGCAUCGCACUUUGACCCCUUUCUUUAAUUAGAGAGCGCGUGUCUUAGUUUUCGCUUUGCUCAUACAAUUAGGUCCUGAAAGCAACGAACGUGACCGCAACCUCUUGUUGCCUUUAUACCAAACAUGUUUUGCGUCAAUUUUUACGAAUUGCGCGCAUUUCAUGAAAAAAGGCUUUUUAAACUAGAGGGACCGCUGUUACUUUCUUAAACCAGAGGAAGGUUGCGGCAAUAACAGGUCUGUGAUGCCCUUAGAUGUUCCGGGCUGCACACGUGCUACAAUGAUUAUUGCAGUGAGCAUCUCAUUUUUACACACUGCAUGCGCGAGUCCAUUUAUUCACCUUCGGGUGUUUUAAAUGUGUAUCUCUGCGCGCGGUAAAGCCUGCUUCGACAGUAAGUGGGU